CAAAUCUCAUUUUUGUCACAAUGACGACUUAGGCGGUUUUUCAACUGGUCGAUGGACGGUUUUACAAAAACAUCGACGAUAUGCUUUUGAAAUAGUC